rnacentral:lncRNA from 1 species
AAGACCUGAACGCAACAAACCCAGAACCAAGAAGACCUGAACGCAACAAACCCAGAAACAAGAAGACCUGAACACAACAAACCCAGAAACAAGAAGACCUGAACACAAUAAUUUAAACCAAAACCUUAUACACUAUAUAUACAAAAGUAUGUGGACAUCCCUUCAAAUUAGUGGAUUUGGCUAUUUCAGCCACACCGGUUGCUGACGGGUGUAUAAAAUUGAAUACACAGCCAUGCAAUCUCCAUAGCAAACAUUGGCAGUAGAAUGGCCUUAAUUAAGAGCUCAGUGACUGCCCGUCAACUGUAAGUGCUGUUAUUGUGAAUUGUAAACGACUACGAGCAACAACGGCUCAGCCGCGAAGUGGUAGGCCACACAAGCUCACAGAACGGGGCCGCUGAGAGCUGUCCUCGGUUGCCACACUCAGCACAAUAACUGUUCUUCGGGAGCUUCAUGAAGUGGGUUUCAAUGGCCGAGCAGCCUAAGAUCCCCAUGCGCAAUGCCAAGCGUCAGCUGGAGUGGUGUAAAGCUCGCCGCCAUUGGACUCUGGAGCAGUGGAAACGCAUUCUCUUGAGUAAUGAAUCACUCUUCACCAUCUGACAGGCCCACGGAUGAAUCUGGGUUUGGCGGAUGCCAGGAGAACGCUACCUGCCCCACUUCAUAGUGCCAACUCUAAAUAAUGGUCUGGGGCUGUUUUUCAUGGUUCGGGCUAGGCCCAUUCAUUCCAGUGAAGGGAAAUCUUUACGCUACAGCAUACAAUGACAUUCUAGAUAAUUCUGUGCUUCCAACAGUUUGGGGAAGGCCCUUUCCUGUUUCAGCAUGACAAUUCCCCUGUGCACAAAGUGAGGUCCAUACAGAAAUGGUUUGUCGAGAUCGAUGUGGAAGAACUUGACUGGCCUGCACAGAGACCUGAUCUCAACCCCAUCGAACACCAACUGCGAGCCAGUGUCCGAACUAACUUAGGAGAAGCAGAAGCAGGUUCUUAAUGAGAUCCACAGGAGGAAGAGAUGCCACAGCAGACACACAG